rnacentral:lncRNA from 1 species
ACACAAAUCACAUUUUCUUUUAAAUUAUCAUAAAUAUAUAUAUAAAAAUUAAUAUAUGAUAUAUAUUUGCAAAGGUCAAUACAACUGAUGCACUAAGUAUUUACAUACUUCCAAAAACUAAAUAUUACUAAAACACAUGUUCUUACUUAAAAAUAAAAACAAGAGCAUCUACAGGGUCAUAAUUUCUAAUCUAAUAACAACCCAAAAGUAAAUCUUCUUCUAGUAGCUUGAGCAUUAGAUGAACCAUAUUGUCAGCUAUGUUGGUUUAUUCAUACUCAUCCUGCAAAAGAAGAUAAAUUAUAAUCAUAUCUUUUAUAAAAAAAAAUUAUAAAGUACACAAGUACAAAUCAAAAAAAGAAAAAUUUGGGCACCAAUGAUAUAAAAAGAUUAUUAUAAUCAAAGCUAAAGCUAAGAAAUUAUCAAGAACGAACUUGCACCAUGUAACAUAAAAGAGUAAAGCUAACUACCUACUAUAGAAAUUCUAUACAUGCCCGAGUAAUCAAUUUUUUAGUACCAGAACCAGGACAAAUAACAAUUCCAAGUAACUUUCAAGGCACUCCAAUUUUUUUUCUUUAUCAAACUAUUAAGCAAAACUAUGCUCUUUCUCGGUUGUAGUGAUUACAAUACACAAUUGUAAUUUGUAAAGGUUGGGGGACUGUUCAAAAAAUAAUAUCGUUAUACCCUAUUGUAUUUCUAUUUAACUUAGCAUCCAUUGUUGUGCAUAUCACAUAAAAGAGCAUGGAAAGCAUAACAUGUUAUGGUCAUAAUAUCUCAAUUUGGUGAUUUUGAAAUCAGAUGACAGACUACUAAAUAAAUUGUAACUGAAAACCAUAAUACAAACAUGAUAUUGAACAAUAUCAACCAACGAACUAUUUUUACAAGAGUUAGACAAAGUUUCUUACCGUGAUGUUAUCCAUAAGUCUUGAACGACUUGCCUCAUUUGAACCACAAAUGUAGCAUUAACAAUCGGGUCCAAAUUAGUAUCCUCUUCAAUUUCUUGGAUUUGUUUAGCAAUAUAGUCGUUCACCUUAUCCUACAAAAAUUUAUACAGACUUUAACUUUCAAUAUUUAUUUCGAUAAACUCAUAUUAUAGGAAUAAAGAUAAAAGUGUCACAUGUAUAUUUAAUUCAACGGAGGCAUCAUUAACUCAAUGUUCAUUCUUCAUGUGAGUCAUUUGUUUGCAUACUAGCCGAGAAAGGCAAACAAUAUGCAAACAAACACUAACAGAAAUUGUUAGGUGGAGUUUUGUUUCAAAAAGGGCUUAAAAGCUUUUGCCUUUCUCUUAUGUAUCAUAUAGGAGAUUAAGAUAAAUUGUUCAAAUGUGUUCUUCCUUUUUCUGUGAUUCACUGUGUAAUAUCUGAAUGUCUAAAUGAAUCAGUUCGAAAAAUUUUAUUUUGUGUCACAUACAACUGACACUAGUUGUAUGAGGCAAUUUUUUUGUCUCACAGUUUUGUGGACCCAGAUUUCUGUGGACCCAGAAGUGUAAGAUUGGGGACCACAAAUUUGUGAGAUAAAAAGGAGUCUCAUACAACUAGUGUAAGUUGUAUGAUACACAAAAUAAAACUUCUCAAUUAGUUCAAACUGACUAGACUUUUCAUCAGCACUGCCUUUCUACUUCAUCAAUUUGAAACACUCAAUUUCCUAAACAUGCUCUACCUAAUUCUUAUAAGUCUGAGUACCACUAGCAUCAUGGUUCAGAUAAACUUUGCACCAAUACUACUCACUAUUUAUUUACAUCUUCGCAUUUAACUUAUGUAUGUAUUUACUUCUAUAGAUUAAAAGAUGUGGAGAAAUAGCACGUAAACUUCGCUUUUUCGAGGAACAAAUGACAAAGGCAGGGUUUACCCCUUCAACAAGGACAACAACUGGCUCAACUAUUAAUCUGGAUGAAUUGGAGGUCUACUUAUUUCAUCUUCUUAGAUUUAAGCAGGUGUUUUUUAAAAUUUUCCUAAAAAUGAAUCACUUCUUUCUAAUAGAAUUGUCCUUUUCCAACUUUGGUGACAUGAAUCCCCAACCUCAUAGUUAGACAUGGAUGAGUUUUACAAUUAUAUUGUCCCUCCCCUUCCAGGAUGCAAAUCUAAACAGUCACUCUUAGGCAAGUAAACAAGAAAAGGAAGAAAGCACAGAAAUAAGAACAGUAGUCUGACAAAUCUUUGGCUUGAAACAAACUAUUGCUUUCAAUAAAUAAUUAUUUUUUAAUAACAGGUUGCUUUGAACAAUAUCAACACAACUUGAGCAAAUGAAAAUUGCAAGUACAGUAAGUGUUCCAGAUUGAAAAGUAUGGCACUUGCGCCUAACUCAACCCCAAAAGCACUAUUACUGAACAAUAAUGUUUACCUGGAUAGCGCAAUGAGACUCCUGUCUCUGUAUCAUCUUAUAGUUAAUUCAACAUAAUCGUAAUUUAGUGAUAAUAAUUCUUUUCCUCUAGGAUGAUAUCUGCUUCUGUCGGAUCUAUUUUUUAGCAAUAUAUACAUAUAAUGUACACACACAGAAGUACUUAGAGACACACACACAGAGGAAAGUCAUCUAGUGUUCUUUACAUUUUUAUAUACCUUUUAUUUCUACCAUCAACAUUUAGCUUUAAAGUCAAUAACCUUAGAUGGACAUAAAGGGAAAAGUGAAAACUUGUAAGUAACAGUUUGCAGUAGCCUUCCCGAGAAUUGGAGCAUGUAAUUGUAAUCUUCAUGUAAUGAUCAUUUCAACAUUAAUCAAGUAAUUAUUUAACCAGCCUACUAAGACAAACAAACUAAUGUGUAUUUAAUUACUUAACAGGUUCACUAAGAUGGAUUCAGAUGCCACGUCAUUUCCUUAGAUGAUUGUCCUUGCUUUAUUUUUAUAUCAGGAAGAGUUCUUUGUGUGACUUUAAGUUAAAAAGCAUGAAAAUUCAAAACUCUAUUCCAUGCAAACCCCAACUCAAAAAUUCAGAACUCUAUUCCAUGCCUACAAGAUUUUACCGUUCACAAACAUGACUACUAUCAUAUGCUUUUUCGAUAUUUUGCUUACGUCCAGAGCUGUAGUUUUCUUGUCUUCAGCUUCUUGUCUUUCUUCUUUUAAUUUCUAAUUUGAACAUCAUUUUUUCUUGCUCUUUUUGUUCUUCUUCAGAAUUGUAAUAUGGCAAGGUCAUAGCUUGAACUAAAUCAUAGAAAUGCAAAUGCUAGAAGAGCAUGAAUUAUGUAAUUACUUGUAACUAUAUCCAAAUAAUUUUUCAAACUCACCUUUAAUAAAUUUAGCAUCACACUCGUGUUACCUUCGACACCAUAGCAGGUGGGGAAAGUAAUGACACAAAAUUUCUUAUUCCAUAAGGAUUAAUGAUACAAGACUAUCUAAUAAAAUAAGAAAUAAACAAAAGAGUCAAAGAGUUGUGUAAGCUAAAUGACUACAUAUGUACCAAUAACAUUAAGCUGAAAAUACUAACAUGAAGUUGGAUUAUGCCAGCAUUGGAAGGAAACUAAGGACACAUGUAUUUUUCUUUCACUGAAAUACCAUUAAGAAAAUGGUGAUUUCUAAAUAGAACAGAACUAACAAACAAGCAGAUUGGGCACUACGAAGGUGAGACAGAAGCAACAAUAUCAUGAUAUUUUAGAAAUAAAAGAUAAAUCAACGUGCACUUUGAUCAAUUUAUGGUUUUAGCAGCCUUAGUAGACUUUUGUUUACUGGGAGUCAUGGAAGUAUUAAUGUCUAAGACAGAGUAUGUGCUCUUAUUUAAAAAUUAAAAAUUCCAAGACGAAUCGAUUCAUCUGUGAUUGGAUAAAAAAAUUUCUUUCACACUCUCUCAGAUGUUAACAGAGUGUAAGGGAAUGAGGUACUAAUUGUCUAAGAUGUUUCUUUUCUCAAAAAAUAAAAUAAUAUAAAUACUUAGUAAAAUAAUGAUUCUUCCCAAAGUUGAAAAUCAUCUACAAUUGUAAAUUAAUUGUAUUACAACCAGAAUUUAGUAAUAAUUUAAUGCAUCUGUCAAUUAAUCCAAAAUUUACUUUACUUUGGAUUAAAUGAAUAGCCAUAUACAUGAAUACACUAUUAAAAGAACCAAAAUUGGACAGGGGACAUAAAGCUAACUUUUCAUGACCAAAUAGAUCUAAUACCACAAAUAACAAGCAAUAGAUAAACUUCUCAUGAAAUUGGUAUUUAAAACUAGAAGUGUGAAACUGUUGACCUUCAAUCCAAUCUCUUAUCACAGAAUCCUUCGAGGAAAUAAUAUCACAUUCAUGUUGUGCCAACAAUAGAAAAAUGUCCAUUAAAAAAGGAACAAGAAUCUAGAAAAGCUUUAAAAUAAAAAAUCUAUGCAAGGAACAAGAAUUUGGACAAAUUUAAAACUAAAAUCUUAUGCAGGGAACAAGAAUCUGGACAACAAUAAAAUAAAGAACUUAUGCAAAGUUGCUUUCUGAAGCAUAUGGAAUUAUAGGAGAAAAAAGCGCAAAUCCUACUCUGGCAUAGAAGAAUUUAAGAUGCCCAUACCCAAUUAAGUACUUCACUGAUAAAAGACAAUCACAAAAAUUGGUAUUUCCAUAAUUUAGUGUAGCAGCAAUCGGGUAAAGUAAUUAAAGAUAGAGUUCUUACCGUUCUUCUCCGAUCAGCAGCAACGGUCUUCUGACCGUUCUUCUUUGAUCAGCAGCAGUAGGACAAAACAGGGGAGAAACUCUUUAAAUUAGAACUGAUAAGAAAAACCCUAGCAAGAAUAGUUAUUAGAGAGUGGGCUAAAAAUCCGUGAAAAGUAAUUAAAAGACUUUUGGUUUGCCGCAUUUGAUUUUGGCGAAAAAUUGAAAAGAUUAAGGCCACAAUCCACGCAUCUCGUUGGCAAUUUAAUGUGUAUUGCCAACAAAAAUACUUUAUUGUUGCCAAUUCUGUUUAUAAUCUAAUUUUAUUAUGUUAAAAUUUUUAUUUUUUGCAACAACUAAAAUUAGUUAUUGCCAUUUAUUACAAUUCGACAAUAAUAAUAUAGUUGUUG